rnacentral:lncRNA from 1 species
CCGAUCUUCGAUGAGCUAGUCAAGUUGUUGCAUCUGAGUGAUGGACGGCGAGAGAUCUAUAAAACAAAUCUUCCUGCUGAAAGUUAUUUGGUGAAAAAGCCUCUGAUGUUUAAAUCAGUUGGAGAAAGGACAUAGCCGAAGGCAAAAAAUGAGAGUCCAAAAGCUUAAUUAUAAUUAAGUUAGCUUAGUUUUAUACGGUUCUCCAUAAUUUAUCAGUUUAUAUAGAGCGAACAGAGCCAUUAUCGUGUAACUCCAGCUUUUAAACAUUCAGGACGUAGGAGUUAUGGCAUUUAGUGGGCGGUUAUCUCAUUUACUGCUAUUAAGAUCGAGUAAUGGACCGAUCGAGUAAUGGACCGCUUAUAGACGACUAUUGUACUCUCCAUUCGCAUAUAGUUAUUGUUCGUAUCGAAUAACUAUUGUUUGAUCCUUAGAUAUAUGGCAUUCAGAUAGUCGAUAUGGUGCUGCAUAGUUUGUCGGUCAAGUAUCGAUUUGUUGCUGAUCACAAGUCGAAUCAAGUCAGUCAAAUAUCGAUUAUAUGUCGAAUAGUCAUCGAUCAGUCGUCGAUUGUAUAUCGGACCAAGUCGGUAGAAUGCUGAUUUGGUUGGAUUCUAUCACUCUGAAUGCCGAUUAGACUAAGUCUCAUCGAUCUAAAUCGGCUUGAUCUGUAAUAUCGCAGUUAGCCAGUGAAGAAGCGAAGAUGAAAGAUAGUCGGCAAGAUGAUGGGG